rnacentral:rRNA from 1 species
GACGAACGCUGGCGGCGUGCUUAACACAUGCAAGUCGAACGGUAAGGCCCUUCGGGGUACACGAGUGGCGAACGGGUGAGUAACACGUGGGUGAUCUGCCCUGCACGUCGGGAUAAGCCUGGGAAACUGGGUCUAAUACCGGAUAGGACCACUGCCUGCAUGGGCGGUGGUGGAAAGCUUUUGCGGUGUGGGAUGGGCCCGCGGCCGAUCAGCUUGUUGGUGGGGUGAUGGACUACCAAGGCGACGACGGGUAGCCGGCCUGAGAGGGUGACCGGCCACACUGGGACUGAGAUACGGCCCAGACUCCUACGGGAGGCAGCAGUGGGGAAUAUUGCACAAUGGGCGCAAGCCUGAUGCAGCGACGCCGCGUGAGGGAUGACGGCCUUCGGGUUGUAAACCUCUUUCAGCACCGACGAAGCGCAAGUGACGGUAGGUGCAGAAGAAGGACCGGCCAACUACGUGCCAGCAGCCGCAGUAA